AGCGAACGCUGGCGGCAGGCCUAACACAUGCAAGUCGAACGAAGUCUUCGGACUUAGUGGCGGACGGGUGAGUAACACGUGGGAACGUACCUUUUGGUUCGGAACAACUCAGGGAAACUUGAGCUAAUACCGGAUGAGCCCUUAGGGGGAAAGAUUUAUCGCCGAAAGAGCGGCCCGCGUUAGAUUAGCUAGUUGGUGAGGUAAAGGCUCACCAAGGCUACGAUCUAUAGCUGGUCUGAGAGGAUGAUCAGCCACACUGGGACUGAGACACGGCCCAGACCCCUACGGGAGGCAGCAGUGGGGAAUCUUGCGCAAUGGGCGAAAGCCUGACGCAGCCAUGCCGCGUGAACGAUGAAGGUCUUAGGAUUGUAAAAUUCUUUUACCAGGGACGAUAAUGACGGUACCUGGAGAAAAAGCCCCGGCUAACUUCGUGCCAGCAGCCGCCGUAAUAC
rnacentral:rRNA from 1 species